rnacentral:rRNA from 1 species
UAAUACGUAGGGAGCAAGCGUUGUCCGGAAUCAUUGGGCGUAAAGAGCGCGUAGGCGGCCCUGUAAGUCCGUUCUGAAAGUCGGAGGCUCAACCUCCGAAAGCGGAUGGAUACUGCAGGGCUAGAGUCCGGAAGAGGCGAGUGGAAUUCCUGGUGUAGCGGUGGAAUGCGCAGAUAUCAGGAGGAACACCAACGGCGAAGGCAGCUCGCUGGGACGGUACUGACGCUGAGGCGCGAAAGCGUGGGGAGCAAACAGGAUUAGAUACCCUGGUAGUCCACGCCGUAAACGAUGGGCAUUAGGUGUGGGAGGUGUCGACUCCUCCCGUGCCGGCGCUAACGCAUUAAAUGCCCCGCCUGGGGAGUACGGCCGCAAGGCUA